rnacentral:rRNA from 1 species
GAUGAACGCUGGCGGCGUGCCUAAUACAUGCAAGUCGAGCGAACGGACGAGAAGCUUGCUUCUCUGAUGUUAGCGGCGGACGGGUGAGUAACACGUGGAUAACCUACCUAUAAGACUGGGAUAACUUCGGGAAACCGGAGCUAAUACCGGAUAAUAUUUUGAACCGCAUGGUUCAAAAGUGAAAGACGGUCUUGCUGUCACUUAUAGAUGGAUCCGCGCUGCAUUAGCUAGUUGGUAAGGUAACGGCUUACCAAGGCAACGAUGCAUAGCCGACCUGAGAGGGUGAUCGGCCACACUGGAACUGAGACACGGUCCAGACUCCUACGGGAGGCAGCAGUAGGGAAUCUUCCGCAAUGGGCGAAAGCCUGACGGAGCAACGCCGCGUGAGUGAUGAAGGUCUUCGGAUCGUAAAACUCUGUUAUUAGGGAAGAACAUAUGUGUAAGUAACUGUGCACAUCUUGACGGUACCUAAUCAGAAAGCCACGGCUAACUACGUGCCAGCAGCCGCGGUAAUACGUAGGUGGCAAGCGUUAUCCGGAAUUAUUGGGCGUAAAGCGCGCGUAGGCGGUUUUUUAAGUCUGAUGUGAAAGCCCACGGCUCAACCGUGGAGGGUCAUUGGAAACUGGAAAACUUGAGUGCAGAAGAGGAAAGUGGAAUUCCAUGUGUAGUGGUGAAAUGCGCAGAGAUAUGGAGGAACACCAGUGGCGAAGGCGACUUUCUGGUCUGUAACUGACGCUGAUGUGCGAAAGCGUGGGGAUCAAACAGGAUUAGAUACCCUGGUAGUCCACGCCGUAAACGAUGAGUGCUAAGUGUUAGGGGGUUUCCGCCCCUUAGUGCUGCAGCUAACGCAUUAAGCACUCCGCCUGGGGAGUACGACCGCAAGGUUGAAACUCAAAGGAAUUGACGGGGACCCGCACAAGCGGUGGAGCAUGUGGUUUAAUUCGAAGCAACGCGAAGAACCUUACCAAAUCUUGACAUCCUUUGACAACUCUAGAGAUAGAGCUUUCCCCUUCGGGGGACAAAGUGACAGGUGGUGCAUGGUUGUCGUCAGCUCGUGUCGUGAGAUGUUGGGUUAAGUCCCGCAACGAGCGCAACCCUUAAGCUUAGUUGCCAUCAUUAAGUUGGGCACUCUAAGUUGACUGCCGGUGACAAACCGGAGGAAGGUGGGGAUGACGUCAAAUCAUCAUGCCCCUUAUGAUUUGGGCUACACACGUGCUACAAUGGACAAUACAAAGGGCAGCGAAACCGCGAGGUCAAGCAAAUCCCAUAAAGUUGUUCUCAGUUCGGAUUGUAGUCUGCAACUCGACUACAUGAAGCUGGAAUCGCUAGUAAUCGUAGAUCAGCAUGCUACGGUGAAUACGUUCCCGGGUCU